rnacentral:rRNA from 1 species
AUUGAACGCUGGCGGCAGGCCUAACACAUGCAAGUCGAACGAGUGGCGGACGGGUGAGUAAUGUAUGGUACACCGCCUGAUGGAGGGGGAUCACUACUGGAAACGGUCGCUAAUACCGCAUACUAUCGGCAGUGCCCAGAGGGGAUUAGCUAGUAGGUGGGGUAAAGGCUCACCUAGGCGCCGAUCUCUAGCUGGUCUGAGAGGAUGACCAGCCACACUGGAACUGAGACACGGUCCAGACUCCUACGGGAGGCAGCAGUGGGGAAUAUUGCACAAUGGGCGCAAGCCUGAUGCAGCCAUGCCGCGUGUAUGAAGAAGGCCUUCGGGUUGUAAAGUACUUUCAGCGGGGAGGCGUUACCCGCAGAAGAAGCACCGGCUAACUCCGUGCCAGCCGCCGCGGUAAUAC